AAUAAAUGUUAGACUCUAAUAAGCAGGUUUAUUGUUAGUAGUAACAUGGAUAAUAUGAUCUUUAAUAUUUAAUAAUUACAAUAUUAAAUGAUAAUAUGAGUAAGUAAAUAUAUCAAGUUUGUUUUAAAUCAAGUGUUUGGCCGUAAAACAGAUACAGGUACAAAGGGAGCCUGGCAGAAUUGUUGUGGCUGAAAUGCUCACAGACCAAGAAGACCAUGGCAAGACGACUAGGAGCCAGCAGAAUGUUGCUCCCACUGGUCAAAUUUAGGACAAUUCAAGCAUCAAAAGAAUAAUAUCUUUCAUUGAUGAUGACACAUUGAAUUUUUAAAGAUGAUUUCAUAGAGGACUUCCACCAUGGGAAGACGGAAUAGACAUGUUCAUUAGUCCUUGCAUUAAGUACAAUAAAAAAUCCUGGACGUCAUACAUAAAACAAACCUAAGAAGACUCAGAAAGCUGGAGAGAAGAAGGCAGAAAGGUAGAGACCUGAGAUCCGAGGCAGCAUAUGGGUGUGAGCUCCUUGGGUCCUCCUUAUGCCUCAUGUAUCCCAGACUUGGAGCUGAAGAAGCCAGAAACCUUGAAACGCCCACGGGCGCAGAUGAGAAGAGGCCCCAACCAAAGCCUCCUCUCUCGAGCCAGAGAGUUAGGGAGGGGCAGCCUGGCAGGACACAGAUCUCUUAGACAAUAACCGCUCUAACCCCACCAAACGCCAUGGAGAACCGUGGCCCCAGCCACACCCGUGAGGCAAAGUCUCAGCAGGGAGCUUAGGUAUCCACCUUCAGACUGUAAAGAGGCCCCAGACCCCCACCCACCCACCAGGUGCUGUCAAAGAAGGCAAAGGAAAGAUCCGGGAAUUUCAACCCUUGUUUUGGCUAGUGCCAUCAACUCCUUAGUGACCCUGGGGACAAGAGGGCAGGACCCUGCCCAGUCUUCUUGCACCAUCCUCUCAUCUCCUGGGCCUGUAUUAGACGAUGCUCUGCUAUUCAUUCAUAGGGUUUUCACCACCAAUUUUUUUGGAAGUGGGUGGCCAGGUCCUUCUUCCUAGUCUGUCUGGGUCUGGAAGCUCCACAGAAACCUGUCCACCCUGGUAGUAUUUGAAAUACUGGUGGCAUAGCUUUCAGCAUCACAGCAACACAGCCACCACAGGAUGACAACCAACAGGUGGGUGGUGUGGUUUCCUGACAGGAAGUGAACCUGGGCCAUGGUGGUGAGAGUCCUAAAUCUUAACCACUGGACCAACACGGCUGGCCAUUUCAACCCUACCUUGUGGUCUCUCAAUAAUAUAUAUUGCUACAAUAUAUUAUCUAAAAUGUCGAGUUACAAAUGAGAAAACUCACAAGAAAUGAAAGAAACACGCAUUCUGAUCCAUAUACCAGAGAAAAAGCAAGCAAAAGAAACUGCCUGUGAGCAUGACCAGGUGUCAGAUUUACCAGCCUUUAAAAUGCCAUUAUACGUGUUUUCAGAGAACUAAAGGAAAGCAUGACUAAAGAAUUAAAGGAAGACGUGAUGAUGAUGUCUCAUCAAUAGAGAAAUCAUUGAAAAGAUGGAAGUUAUUUAAAGAGAAGAAGGAGGAGGAGGACCAAAUGGAAGUUCUGGGGUUAAAAAGUACAAAAACUGGAAAAAAGUUUCAUGAGAGGGGCUCAACAAUGAACUUGAACUGGCAGAAGAAAGAAUCAGCCAAUAUAAAGACAGAUCCAUACAUUAUGCAACUUGACCAAGAGAGAAUAAAAGGGAAUAAGGAAAAACGGACAGAGCCUCAGAGAAACGUGGGACACCAUUAAAUAGAACAACAUAUGUGUAACAGAGUGCCAAAAGGAGAGGUAAGGUAAGAAGCAGGAAAAAAUAUUUUAAGCAAUAAAGGCUGAAAAAUUACCAAACAUACGGCAUAGAGCAUCAUAUCAAUCUACAGCGAUACAAAAAUGUUUUUCUUUGUAUCCUAAUUCUAUAAGCUUUUUUCUACUUUUGAAAUUUUUUUAUUUUUGCUUUUUAAACGUUUUUGUUAAAAACUAAGACACAUUAGCCUAGGCCUAUGCAAGGUCAGGAUCAUCAAUACCACUGUCCUCCACCACCACAUCUUGUCCCCCUGGAAGUUCUUCAAAGGCAAUAACACGCAUGGAGCCGUCAUCCUCUACGUGACAAUGCCUUCUUCUGGAACACCUCCUGAAGGACCUGCCUGGAGGCUCUUCUGGAGGAGGCAUCACGCUUUUCAGAAACAUGUCCAUGGCGGUUUGCUUGAUUUGUCUUUUUUCCUCUUAGAUUUGCUUGAAAGAAGAUAAUGCACCUUGAACAUUCCUCUCUAUUAAUGGAAAGCUUUUGGUUUUGGGAUCCACGUUUUCAAACGUUUUAAGGAGCUUGUUGAGGUCUGCAAAAGCUUCUGCUAAACUCUUUAGUGUGAAUUUUCCAGAGGGUUCUUCUUUUUCUUCCCCUCCAGUUUCCUUUUCUCUUGCCUCUUCUUCACCUACGCAUUCUGUUCCAAUUCUAAUAACUGCUCAUUAGUCAAUUACUCAGGAAUCACAUCGAGGAGUUCCUCAAUAUCAUCCUCAUUCACAUCCAGGUUAAAGUUGUUUGCCAUCUCAACCAUAGCUUUGUAGAUUUCUGCAACCUCUUCAUCCUUGGGAAAUCCUUGGAAGUCAUGGACAAACCUCUUGAGUGUCUUCCUCCAGAUACUAUUAGUACACUUCUUGGUGACAUCACCCUAAGCCCAAGCAAGCUAAUUGAUGGAGUCGUAGAUGUUGUAAUCCUUCCAGAAUGGCAUCAGUGUCUUCGAGAUUAAAUCAAGCACAAGAGAAAAUGAUGCCAACCAGAGACACGGUAAACACGAGAUGGCACAUGGAAAGAUGUUCAACAUCACUAAUUAUUAGGGAAAUGCAAAUGAAAACCACAAUGAGGGGCUGGCCCCGUGGCUGAGUCGUUAAGUUCGCGCGCUCCGCUGCAGGCGGCCCAGUGUUUCGUUGGUUCGAAUCCUGGGCGCGGACAUGGCACUGCUCAUUGAACUACGCUGAGGCAGCGUCCCACAUGCCACAACUAGAAGGACCCACAACGAAGAAUAUACAACUAUGUACCGAGGGGCUCUGGGGAUAAAAAGGAAAAAUAAAAUCUUUAAAAAAAAAAAAACACACAAUAAGAUAUCACCUCCCACCUGUCAGAAGGGCUAUUUUUAAACAGACAAGAAACAACCAGUGUCAUAGAGUAUGUGGAGAAAAGAGAACCCUCAUACACUUCUGGUGGGAAUGUAAAUUGGUGCAGCCACUAUGGAAAACAGUAUAGAGAUCCUUCAAAAUAUUAAAAAGAGAACUACCAUGUGAUCCAGCUUUUCCACUUCUGGGUAUUUAUCCGAGUACAUGAAAACACUAAUUUGAAAAGAUAUCUACACUUUAAUGUUCACUGGAGCAUUACUGACAAUAACGAAGACUUGGAACCAACCCAAGUGCCCAUCAACAGAAGAAUGGAUGAAGAAGAGGUGGUAUAUAUAUACACAAUGGAAUACUACUCAGUCAUAAAAAAGAGGAAAUCUUUCCAUUUGCACAACAUGGAUGGAGCUUGAAGGUACUAUGCUAAGCAAAAUAAAUCAGAUGGAGAAAGUCAAAUACCAUAUGCUCUCACUCAUGUGGAAGAAAAAGGAACAAAUACGUAGGUAUAGAGAAUAGAUUGGUGGUUACCAGAGGGGAAGGGGCUGGAGGGAGAGAAAAAAGGGUAAAGGAAGACAUUUUUAUGGUGACAGAUGCCAACUAGACUUUUGGUAGUGAACACAAUGUAGUCUACACAGAAGUCGAAAUAUAAUAAUGCACACCUGGAAAGUUAUAUAACAUUAUAAACCAACAUUACCUCAAUUUUUUCAAAAAAAAAACAUGAAAUGUAUGAGACUGCUGCCAGCACAAUAGGGCAUACUGUUUUACAGUAAACGUUUUCUGAUAAGUAGAAAGUGUACACUCUAAAAUAAUCAUAAAAAGUAUAAUAUAGUAAAGAUAUAAAGCAGUAACAUACUCGUUUAUCACCACCAAGUAUUCUCUACUGUACAUAAUUGUAUGUGCUAUACUUUUCUACAUCUGGCAGCACAGUAGGUUUAUUUACAUCAGCAUCACCAGAAACACAUGAGGAACACAUUGCACUACAACUUAUGAUGGCUGCAACAUCACAGGUGAUAGAAAUUUUUCAGCACCCUUCUAAGCGUAUGAGACCAUCAGCGUAUGUGUGGUCCAUGAUUGACUGAAAUGUUGUUAUGUGGCACAUGACUAAUGAAGAAUAUUAAUCAGCCCAUCCAGGAAGCCAAAGAAACUGCAAGGAGGAUAAACACAAAGAUCUACAAAUAGACAUAUCAUAGUAAAAAUGGUGAGAGCCAAAGAGAAGAGGAAAAUCUCAAGAGCAGCAAGAGAAAAAUGGCUUUUUGCUUACAAGGAAAGCCCCAUGCAGCUAACAGCUGCCUUCUCAUCAGAAACAGUAGAGGCCAAAAGGCAUAGCAUAAUAUGGUAAAGCAGCUAAAAAAAUAAACUGUCAACCAAGGAUCCUAUAUCCAGAAAAUUUCUUGCCAGCAGACUGGCCUUACAAGAAACACUAAAAUGAAGUUGUGGUGAUAUCACCAAAGUGGCGGAGUAGGCGACCCUCGCCUCUAUCCCACCAUUAAGAUCAACAAUUAGACAGCUAUCCACAAAAACAGAAAUCACUCUGGGAGAACUCAGAAGUCCAUUUAAGAAACUUCAGCGACAUGAUGGAACUGAAAACAUGAGGAUACCCGUACGAAAAGUGAAAGAAGGCAGCUUUAUUUUGCCUGCAUCAUUCCAUCCCCCAAGCCAGCACUGCUCAACACGAAAAGGAAGCUCCCCAGCCAGAAAUAGUUCCCCUCUCUGAGAAACAGAGAGUGGGAUGAGUGACCAGCAUCCACGGCCUUUCAGGGCACCGCAUAAAGGACCUGCUUUGGUUUGAUCCCACCCAGAGGCCAGCACAGCUGAGCUGUAUGGAGACCACCAGUAUCAGCUAUGUGGCAGGAGCGACCCACAGUCCCCUGUAACCUGCUCUGCAGAGAAUCCCAGCAGCUUUUACCACUGAGAAACCCCAGCCAGCACAGCCAUUACGGAUCACCUGCAGAUUUCACAAGUUUCUGCCCCACAGAUUUUCAUAUUAGCAGAACCCAGCCACCUGACUCUUGUCCUGCUUCCUCCCCUACCAGAGCCUGGCAUCCACACUGGCAGCCAGCCCCAGCCUCUGUGACGGUGCAAGUGUAAGACACUAGCCUAGACUCCCAUGGCUAGCCCCCACUGCUGUGCAUGUGCUGAGGGCUAGCCUCUCCAGCCAUGCACCUGCAUGCUACCAACCUGCCUCCCAUCACAGGCCUCCACUGCCAUGUGAAUACUAUGGCACAACCCUGCAGCCAAGUGCAUGCAAGCCAACAGCCAAGGCCUCGACAGCUGCUUCUGGUCUUGAUUUGGACCUAUGUCCAGUCACGGGCCUGUACUGCUGGGAUUCCCUGCAGCUAGGCCCUCCAGCUAUGCACCUGCACUCUGCUGGAUCAAGUUCUGUCACCUGCCUCCACUGCCAUGGGCCCAUUGCAAGACCCUACAGCACAGGCGUGCACACCACAACAGCCAGGGCCCCUACAGCUGCUUGUCUGCCUGGAUCUGACUUUGACUUCUGUCACUGGCCUGCACCACUGAUCUCACCUACAGCUGGCCCAUCUACCUGUACAACUGCACCACACCAGCCUGACACCUGUCACCAGCCUCCCCUACUGCACACAUGCCUAUGGUGAAACCCUGCACCGGAGGAGUACAUGCCAACAGCGAAGUCCCCCACAGCUAUAAGUGCAACCAUGGUUGGUCCCAGCCCUUGCUGCUGGCACUGGCCCACACCACUACAUUAUGCGUUUCUGCAACAGCCCCUCCCAUGACACAGGCACCUGAAGGUGGCCCCCACAGCUGAGUGUGUCUACAAGAACACUACUGAACACCAGCAUUGCCUGCCCUGGUCCCUAGCCACGGGACCUACAGGUGCUGCUAAAGACCCCAAUAGCUCUUUCAGCUAUAUCACAGCCCCCACGGCACUUGCCAGGCCCAAGACAUUGGCAACAUUGUGUACUCCAGCAGCCUGAGCCAAUGAGACAUCACACCACCCCUGGACCCAGAGCCACAAUAUGCUCCUGCACUUACUUCCCUGCACCACGAGAUCUGGAGUCACAGCAUGCUCCAAUGUGCCCCACCCACAGGUGAGUCUUUUCUUACUGAAGUCAUUCCAUAAAGUCAGAAAGAGGGGACUGCUUCUUCAAAUGCACAGACACUUAUGUAAGGCUACAGGAAUCACAAAGAAUUAGGGAAAUACAACACCCCCAAGGAAACACAA
ensembl:lncRNA